AGGCCGAGCGCUCCUCAGAAACCUUCCGGAAAUGGAACAGUCGUAAAGCGAAGGGCGUUUCCCCGCCCCUGCCUUCCCGCUUUCUGGAAGUUGGCCUCGCGCCUCAGCGCUUUUAAGACCGAGCUGCGUGGGUCCCUGUUUUCAAUGACUGAAAGCAAUCUGAAGGGGAUUUUUACUUUUGAGGGAAAAAAAGCUGUUACUGUACGACAGCUGGUCUUUCGUUAAGACGAGGUGGCUAAGCUAGGUGCGUGACCCCCGCCAAAUUGUGGUUAUUGGUUGUUUACUGAUUUGCUCACGGUGGGUCUACGGUCGGGCUUCUCCGACCCGAACAGGAAAUCCCUAGCUUUGGGUCACAUUGUUCUAAUUUGAGAACUAAAUGGUUUGGAGUUCACAGAACCUAACGGUAUUUUUGCUUGGCGGAAUUCUACCGGGUCUGCGGUGAAGCUAAGAUUGUCCUCGUGGAUCCACUUUGCGCGCAUUCCAGCGGCUGAAAAUGUGCCUAGCAGGUGCAGGACUCUGCCCUCUAGUCGGACAGGGACAGCCUGGGCCUGCACCAUAUUCGAAGUUGAUUUUAACAGGUCCUUCAUCAGCUAUGGGAAGACUAAGCAGCCGUGAUGCCGGUCGCUUUGUUUGCUUUUCCAAGUCCACUCAUCAGUGUAGAAGACUGACCUGCUUGCACUGGAUCAGCAGGCUCCCUUGACCACAGGCUUCUCACGUAUGGAGACAGGCUUAAGGAGAACAAGUACCUUGCCCCCAGUUCCAUGUAGACAGCUACUGAUGGAGCUGGUAUUCAAACCCAAGCCAUCACAAUCCAGAGUCUACAUGCUACUCAAUUUCCUCCUUAAUUGAUGAGAAGGUAACUAAGAAAAAACGACAAAGGAAAGUUACAGUCCAGUGGAAGAAUGGGGAUGAAUAUAAAUCAUUGUGAUACAGAGCAUGGUCUACGUGGCAAAAGCAAUGUCUAAAGAGUUAUUAAUUUUGACAGGGGUGGGGGUUGAGAAAAGCUUCCCAGAAGGAAGUAACAUUGAAUUUGGCCUCAGAGGAUCAAUUAAGCAGAGAGAAGGGAAAGAACCCUGAAGACUGGGAUUGGUAAUUUCAAUAGAGAUGCAGAGUCAGGAAAAAGUAAGGCAUAUUUAGGGGGCAAAAUUGUGUAUUAUGGGUAAAACACAUGGAGACUCAGAGCAUGAGGGUAUUUGAGAAGUUGAAGGGCCUUGAGGAAUGAGGGGAGGAAUGUAAACUAUAAUCGAUACUUUAAGCAGGGAAAUAGCACAGUUACUGACCUAUCAGUUUGGGGUCUGGCAAAGACAGUUUUAGUGGCAGUGUUUAGGAACAGUUAGAAUUUAGACUGACCUGAAGCAGACAAACCAGUGAGAAGUUGGUUGCAGUGAUUUGUUAAAGAGAAAAACUGGAUAACCGUGGGCUGCAGCUGAGGAAGUUGCACUGAGAACAGAAGAGGGUAGAUGUUUAAGAGACUUUAAAAGUGUUAUCAAUAGGAUUUGGUGACAAAUGUCAAAAAAGCGAGAGGGAGGAGGAGCCAAAGACAAUCCCCAAGGGUUCUCGCCCCAUGGGUUGGAUGAAGAGCAGACACAGUCAAAAAGCGAGAGAGAGAGAGAGAGAGAGAGAGAGAGAAAGAAAGAGAGAGAGAGAGUGUGUGUGUGUGUGUGUGUGUGUGUGUGCGCGCGCGUGCGCUCGGAGGGGAGGGAGGGGCAGAAGAAGAGGAACAGAAAGAAUUUAAUCAGGCUCCACGCCCAGCACAGAGCCCAGCACGGUUCUCAAUCUCAUGACCCUGAGAUCAUGACCUGAUCCAAAAUCAAGAGUCCUACCCUCAACUGACUGAGCCACCCAGGUGCCCCAGCCUAGCCUUCUUUCAAAGCUUAGGUCACAUCCGACUACCUAUUCCCAGAUUUCCUGCACUAUACUCCAUGCUCGGCCAGAAUUCAUCACUUCUGUGCUUGCACAAAAUGGUUUCUUUACUUCUGCGUUUUGUCAUCACUUAAAAGUGAUUACUUACAUGUUGGUUUCCCCAUGGUAGGCAAGUGCCUUGAGACACCAUGUUCCACUAGUCUCUGUAUUUUCCUUAAAACUCAAUAUGGUUACUAGCAACAAAUAACCUUUACUGUUAUUUCCAUGUGUGACAUUUCUGGAUAUUGUCCAGAAUAUCUGGUCCAAAGAGAGGCAGUAUAGCAAUGAUCCUCAAAGUGUGCUGCAUAUGUUACUGGGGAAAUAUGGAAAGCAAUUUUAAGUAUGGAAAGAUUUUCCAUGGUUUCUGUUUUAUAUUUAUAAAAUAGAGUAAUAACCCAGAAAUAAAAAUAGGAUGAGUAUGAGUUAGUGAUAUUUGUAAACUAUGUAAAUUAAUCUCAAACAUAUUAUGUUGAAGAAAGAAGCCAAACAUGAAAAAAAUGUACACCAUAUAACUUCAUUUCUAUGAAAUUCACAAACAGUAAAAAUUAAUCUAUGUUGCUAGAAAUCAGAACAGUGGUUGCCUGUAGAAACAAUAUUUUACUAGACGGGUGUGCAAUUUCUAGAGUCAUGGAAAUAUUUUAUAUUUUUAUUAGGUUAUUGAUUUUAUAGGUUUAUAUCAUUUUUCAAAAGUCAUUGUAUUGUAUCCUUAAGUUUCAUAUGUUUCAUUCCAAGUAAACUUUAUCUUGAUUAAGGAAACAAAAUUCAGGAAAAUUCAAAUAUCAUCUUGGUUUAAUUGAUACCAAGGAGUUUUUCUUAUCAAUUUUAUUAGAGUAUGAUGAUAGCAUUAUGUAAGAACAUGUUCAUAAUAUUUAGAGAUAUAUGCCAAAGUAUAUAUGGGUGACAUGAUAUGAUAUAGCUAUCAUAGAUUACUUUGAAAUAAUUCAUCAGAUAUGAAAAUGAUACAAAAAGAGAAAAUUAAAGCAAAUGUGUCAUAAUAUUGAUAAGUGUGGAAUCUGGGUGAGGAGUAUGUAGGAGUUCAUUUUAUUAUACUCUCUAAUUAUGUAUAUAUUUAAAUUUUUAAAAUAAAAAUAGAUUUUAUAAGAACAACUUACCAAAAAUCAAAUUACCAUGUGGAUAAUAUUAAAUUAAACCCUAUACUCAAUCCAACAGCAAAUUCUGUUGCCUCUAACUUGAAAAUGUAUCCAUAAUACAUCAUUUUUCCUCCCUCCCUCACCACAACACACAUAAUGUUACCUCCCAGGGUCCAACCACCUUCAUCUCUCAGCUGUACUGGGUCAAUAAUCUCCUGACCAUUCUUCCUAUGUCCAGUUAUUCCAUGGAGUCUAUGGUCCACAUUAAAUUCAGAAAUAUUCUCUUUUUUUAAGAUUAUUAUUAUUAUUUAUUUUAGAGAGACAGAGUAAGUGGGGCAAGGGGCAGAGGGAGAGAAUCUCAAGCAGACUCCCCACUGAAUGUGGAGUCCAAUGCAGGACUUCAUCCCAUGACACAUGAGGUCCUGAGCUGAGCUGAAACCAAGAGUUGGAUCCUUAACUGACAGAGCCACCCAGGCACCCCAGAACUAUGUCUUUUAAUACCCAAGUUCUCCGUAAUUCUCUAUGCUCCAUUCACACUGGUUUCCUGGUAUCUCCAAAAAAAAAAAAAAAAAAAAAAAAAAAAAAAAAAA